rnacentral:rRNA from 1 species
GUGGGGAAUAUUGGACAAUGGGCGCAAGCCUGAUCCAGCAAUGCCGCGUGAGUGAUGAAGGCCUUAGGGUUGUAAAGCUCUUUUACCCGGGAAGAUAAUGACUGUACCGGGAGAAUAAGCCCCGGCUAACUCCGUGCCAGCAGCCGCGGUAAUACGGAGGGGGCUAGCGUUGUUCGGAAUUACUGGGCGUAAAGCGCACGUAGGCGGCUUUACAAGUCAGAGGUGAAAGCCUGGGGCUCAACUCCAGAAUUGCCUUUGAGACUGUAUCGCUUGAACACGGGAGAGGUGAGUGGAAUUCCGAGGGUAGAGGUGAAAUUCGUAGAUAUUCGGAAGAACACCAGUGGCGAAGGCGGCUCACUGGACCGUUGUUGACGCUGAGGUGCGAAAGCGUGGGGAGCAAACAGG